GUUCUUAUAGUUGAAUGACAACGGUGGUUUUUCAAGUCGCUAGUUCUGGUUAAAGUCCAGGUGAGAAUU
rnacentral:tRNA from 1 species